rnacentral:rRNA from 1 species
UACGAAGGGAGCUAGCGUUGUUCGGAAUCACUGGGCGUAAAGCGCACGUAGGCGGAUGUGUCAGUCAGGGGUGAAAUCCCGGAGCUCAACUUCGGAACUGCCUUUGAUACAGCACGUCUUGAGUCCGGGAGAGGUGAGUGGAACUGCGAGUGUAGAGGUGAAAUUCGUAGAUAUUCGCAAGAACACCAGUGGCGAAGGCGGCUCACUGGCCCGGUACUGACGCUGAGGAGCGAAAGCCAGGGGAGCAAACGGG